UUCCCCGCCUUUCAAUAAGCUUCACGUGCAGAGCGAAAACCGACCUUGCCCCACCCCAGCAGCAGCCGGGAUCCGCUGGGAUUGAUUGGGAUGGAUGGUGGGGAUCCACUGGGAUCCACUGGGAUCACUGGGAUCGAUGAGAGUGAGUGGGAUGGGUGGUGGGGAUCCACAGGCACCAUUGGGAUCCACUGGGAUGGAGGGUGGGGAUCCACAGGGACCACUGGGAUCCACUGGAAGUGACUGGGAUGGAUGGUGGGGAUCCAUGGGGAUCCACUGGGAGUGACUGGGAUGGUUGGUGGGGAUCCACAGGGACCAUUGGGAUCCACUGGGAGUGACUGGGAUGGAUGGUGGGGAUCCACAGGGAUCCACUGGGAGUGACUGGGAUGGUUGGUGGGGAUCACUGGGAUGGAGGGUGGGGAUCCACGGGGAUCACUGGGAUCCACUGGGACGGAUGAUGGGGAUCCACAGGGAUCCACAGGGAUCAUGGGGAUCCCUGGGACGGAGGGUGGGGAUGUCCCCCACGGUCCCGGGGAGGAGCCGCGUCCUCGUGGCCUCGCUCCGUCACCUGCAACACAGAGAGGCGGCCCAGCUGAGUGCCCGGC
rnacentral:lncRNA from 1 species